UAGGGAAUCUUCGGCAAUGGACGGAAGUCUGACCGAGCAACGCCGCGUGAGUGAAGAAGGUUUUCGGAUCGUAAAGCUCUGUUGUAAGAGAAGAACGAGUGUGAGAGUGGAAAGUUCACACUGUGACGGUAUCUUACCAGAAAGGGACGGCUAACUACGUGCCAGCAGCCGCGGUAAUACGUAGGUCCCGAGCGUUGUCCGGAUUUAUUGGGCGUAAAGCGAGCGCAGGCGGUUAGAUAAGUCUGAAGUUAAAGGCUGUGGCUUAACCAUAGUACGCUUUGGAAACUGUUUAACUUGAGUGCAAGAGGGGAGAGUGGAAUUCCAUGUGUAGCGGUAAAAUGCGUAGAUAUAUGGAGGAACACCGGUGGCGAAAGCGGCUCUCUGGCUUGUAACUGACGCUGAGGCUCGAAAGCGUGGGGAGCAAACAGGAUUAGAUACCCUGGUAGUCCACGCCGUAAACGAUGAGUGCUAGGUGUUAGACCCUUUCCGGGGUUUAGUGCCGCAGCUAACGCAUUAAGCACUCCGCCUGGGGAGUACGACCGCAAGGUUG
rnacentral:rRNA from 1 species